CAGCCUUAGAGGAUCCUAAUCGAUGGCACGAGUUUUUUCAAAAUCGAUUCACAACGGCGGAGAUACUAUGAUGAUGUUGUAUAUGGUGGGCUUCUCUCUCUCCAUCUUGUCCAUGGCGAUCUUCGUAUGUGGAAAAUCCAAGAAAAAAAUGAAACAUGGUGGCCAUGGUGGUAGUUCUAGUGCCGAUGGCGGUGAUGGAGGAGGUGGCGGCAACGGAGGAGGUGGUGGCGGCAACGGAGGAGGUGGUGGCGGCAAUGGAGGAGGUGGUGGCGGCAACGGAGGAGGCUAGGAGGAGUAGUUAAUGCUUAACUAUAGUAUAAUUAUAUAAAUAAAAUAAGAAUUGUUAUUUUCUAUUUUGUGAAUGAUUGGUUUGAGCAAAGAUUGAUCAAUAUAUAUGCAAAUACACUACAAAAAAAAUAAACUUUUAACGACCGAUUUUGGCAUUAAUGUCUAAAUUUUCGCCUAUCUUUUGAAAUCAUUCUUUCGAAAACCCACAAAAAAUCAUAAAUCCCCAAUUCUGUUUGUCUAAUUUUUGUCUAUAUGGUCUUAAAAUUAUAAUUUUUAUUUAAAUAUUUUUUUUCGGGUUGGUAGAUCUCU
rnacentral:lncRNA from 1 species